GCCAGCCUGGAUUAGUGGUUUGAGUGUUGGACUAUGACUCUGGAGACCAGGGUUCGAAUCCCAGCUCAGCCU